UACGGAGGAUGCGAGCGUUAUCCGGAUUCAUUGGGUUUAAAGGGUGCGUAGGCGGCCGAGUAAGUCAGCGGUGAAAUUUUGCAGCUUAACUGUAACAGUGCCGUUGAUACUGCAUGGCUAGGAUUUGGUUGCUGUGGGUGGAAUGUGUGGCGUAGCGGUGAAAUGCUUAGAUAUCACACAGAAUAUCAAUUGCGAAGGCAGCUCACAAAGCCAAGAUUGACGCUGAGGCACGAAAGUGUGGGGAU
rnacentral:rRNA from 1 species